AUUGAACGCUGGCGGCAUGCUUUACACAUGCAAGUCGAACGGUAACAGGCCUUCGGGUGCUGACGAGUGGCGAACGGGUGAGUAAUGCAUCGGAACGUGCCCAGAGGUGGGGGAUAACGCAGCGAAAGCUGUGCUAAUACCGCAUGUGAUCUGAGGAUGAAAGCGGGGGACCAAGCAGCAAUGUUUGGCCUCGCGCCUCUGGAGCGGCCGAUGUCAGAUUAGGUAGUUGGUGGGGUAAAGGCCUACCAAGCCGACGAUCUGUAGCUGGUCUGAGAGGACGACCAGCCACACUGGGACUGAGACACGGCCCAGACUCCUACGGGAGGCAGCAGUGGGGAAUUUUGGACAAUGGGCGCAAGCCUGAUCCAGCAAUGCCGCGUGCGGGAAGAAGGCCUUCGGGUUGUAAACCGCUUUUGUACGGAACGAAGAGGCUCUGGCUAAUACCUGGGGCUGAUGACGGUACCGUAAGAAUAAGCACCGGCUAACUACGUG
rnacentral:rRNA from 1 species